GGGGCGAGGAGCAUGUGCGCCCUUCCCCACAAAUCCGCCCCCUUCUCUUCCGAGGAACUGAUGAGAAUGGAACACCAGUAUAGCGCUCAUAAGUAAGCUAUGUUGUUGUACCCCACACCACUCCCCUUCUUAGAUCUCAAAUUCUUGCGGCCUUGAUCUAAUGCUUUCCUCACUUAGAUCCUCUGUUAUUUAUGUAGAUUUAUUAUAUUUGGUUUUGUUGGAUGUCGAUGCUACCAGGUCUCUGACUCGGUCGAUCUUGGUUUUGUUGGGAAGGAAGAAAUGUUUGUCAAUGUUUCUGUGUUUUGUUUAUGGGUUUAUCUAUGGUUUUGACAAGUCUGGUUGGUGCAUGAUGAUAUGCUGAUUGAAAUUGGAGGGUUGCCAUGGCUUUUAAGAGUUAGUGAUGCUGAUUUUCAGCUGAUGCUAAUUUUUGAUACGAUGAGAAUUGGUGCUAUUCUUUCUUUGUUGUUUGGCUUUUUGCUCAGUAAACUUGGAAUUUUUGGGCUUGGUUUGAUCUGCUGCUGUAGUUUGUGGUAGUCGUAUAAACCGGUGAUGAAUCAAGGCUUUGCUCUUGUAUACAGCAGUACUAAUGUUGGAGCUUCUAAUACACUUGAUACCUGUUUAGAAGCAACAAAAUACUUAGUUGGCUUUUUUCUGAUCAACUUCAUGCUCUGAUAUGUUGGCUGUCUCUAUAGUGGUCGUCUUCUGCUUGUGCGCUUUUAAUAGUCCACGCUGCAUUGCAAGUUCUAACUUUGUCUCAUGAAAAACCAUGAAAUUAGGUUUACAUAUAAGGACAUUGAAACAUGUGUAACUAUAUAUUGAAGAGAUUGUAGGAGUCUGUUGAUGAUAGUGCUGAUUCUGCUGAAGAACAUUUCCACAUUUGAUACGCUUGUGAGGAGACAGAGACUUGGAUGGAUGUUGAAGGGUUAGGGUAGUGGAUUCAUGGACUUUAUAUAACGUACAUGAAGUUGUGGAAAGGAAUAGAGAUGGCAUUUUGUUGGAUCUAAGCAUUAUCUUAUAUGUCUUUGUUGGUUCUAGAGGAAAUAUAUGGCGAUGAGGCUGGGCUGGGCUUGGAGCAUGGCUUUUUUUUUACCCCUGGUUACCUAAUUAGUCAAAAGUUGCUUCCUUAGUUAUCAAGACAAAUGAGAUGACUUGGUUGGGGUCCCCAAACCCCAAGGAGACGAUGAACCAAAGCUGACGAGAGGGAUCCCUUCAAAUUGUGGGAACUGUAGUUGUCUCUGCCAGUUGGAUCACUAGUCCGGCAACAACUGUGCAUUUCAAAGCUUCAACUGCAAAUGAAAAGGUUUGCUUCGGAAAUUACAAAAAAAAACCCAGAGAGAGAGAGAGAGAGAGAUAGAGAGAGAGGGGCUUUUGUGGGGUGGGGGUACCUGCAGUCUGAGCUUAUUCGCAUGGAAGAUUUUAAGAUACAGAUGCAAUGCUUGAUGAAUCAGAAGUCAUGGGCACAAGGAAUUAAAUUAACAUCGACGGACAUGCAUCGCACGUUCUAUACACCACAAGAAUAAGUACUUCAUAUUUAUUCAUGUCGUAGCAUGAUUUUGCUAAGCCAGCAAGCUACAAUUUGUACUUAUUUUCUAAUCUAUCUCGAAUUAGUUUACGGAAACAUAGAUCAUCACAUUAUAAUUCCCAAAUCCUAUUCAUAAAUUAUUUCAAUAUUAUUUCAGGUUCUUUUUGUUGGAAAUUUUAUUCAUGAUGCACAGAAGGAUCAGCUGCAGAGUAGUUACUCUAAUAAAACAACAUGUGUGAGUAACUUUCCUCUAAAAGAAAAAAAGAAGAAGAUGACUCACUUUGAUAGCAUCAUUCCUCAAGUCUGAUUUUGACUUUCGGACAUUUAUCAACUUGACAGAUCAUUGGCACUAGGGCCUAACAUCUUUUGUUGGUUAUGCCCUGUAUCAAAGUUCAAAGGCUCUGGUCUCCGAUUUCCCACUGCAUUUGACCUUCCAAUAUCUACAACACUAACUUGACGUAUCAGGUGGCAAAGAUAAGAGUAAUUUGUCUAUAGAAGAUGGAAACCAUGUAAAUUUUUGUGGUUGAGCCUCGCUUGGGAGUGGCACUUACAAUCGUGAAGUGCUUGCCCUACGUUUUUGGACUGACACGAGGGCUUCAAGUUACUUCUGUGGGCUGCUUAUAAACUACAGGAAGGAUCCAAAUACACAUAUAUUAUGGAUAGAGAAUGCAAAUGCAAAAUUGAAGGCUGUCCAUGACAUCGAAGCAGGUGAGGAACUGCGGAUCUGCUAUAUUGAUGUUAGCAUGGGUUAUGAGGCUCGGCAGAAAAUUCUUGCUGAAGGUUUUGGUUUCAAGUGUAGCUGUCUUCGGUGCUUAUCUGGCGAAUAACAAGCAUUUUUCUUAUAUUUUAAUAGGGAUGAUCUUACACUCCAAGAGGAUUUAAAAGUACUGAAGGCGGCUAACAGCAAAGCCCAGGACUCCUGAAGGGAUCACUGGAUCAAACAGAGCAUGCAUUUUCUUUAUCUCCAAUAGCUCUUUUUUGUUAAUGCUUCUCUGAAGCCUAGGACUCUUAACCAGCCCAGUUUUCAUGCUCACUGUGUUUCUAAGGGUGGUACAGUGCAAGUUAGGUUUCAGCCUUACAUUGGACAGUAUUUAGCAGCAGCAGCG